GCCACUAUGGUCUAGUGGUAUAACCAUCCGCUGAAGUAGGGUCUAGAACAAUGACGAGUGGUUGCAGUUGGUUACACACUUUCAGCGGACGUCCGUGAGUUCGAAUCUCACUGGUGCA